rnacentral:rRNA from 1 species
GACGAACGCUGGCGGCGUGCUUAACACAUGCAAGUCGAACGGAAAGGCCCUGCUUGCAGGGUACUCGAGUGGCGAACGGGUGAGUAACACGUGGGUGAUCUGCCCUGCACUUCGGGAUAAGCCUGGGAAACUGGGUCUAAUACCGGAUAGGAGCCAUUUUUAGUGUGAUGGUUGGAAAGUUUUUUCGGUGUAGGAUGAGCUCGCGGCCUAUCAGCUUGUUGGUGGGGUAAUGGCCUACCAAGGCGGCGACGGGUAGCCGGCCUGAGAGGGUGGACGGCCACAUUGGGACUGAGCUACGGCCCAGACUCCUACGGGAGGCAGCAGUGGGGAAUAUUGCACAAUGGGCGCAAGCCUGAUGCAGCGACGCCGCGUGGGGGAUGACGGCCUUCGGGUUGUAAACUCCUUUCGCUAGGGACGAAGCUUUUUGUGACGGUACCUAGAUAAGAAGCACCGGCUAACUACGUG